rnacentral:lncRNA from 1 species
GGAUGUUGUUAUUGCUGAGUCUAGCCAGGAAUAAGCUGACUGGAAUGUUUAAACGGAGGGAAGGAAACAGCACAUAAGGCACUUGCCAUUUUUAUCGUGAUUGGAAACAAGUCUUUUGUUUGGGGCGGGUAAGCAUUCUUCUAAAAGGAGCUUCUGAAUAAUAGCAAAGGAAAAGAGCUGACUAUUUUUAUAGCAUAUUUAAUAUAUUUGUAUAUAACUCAAUACAGUAGGAACCCUUCGCACGCCUCCUGCCCUGGAAUCCAGGUCCCCUUUGCCAUAUAGCAUUAGCAUAGCCUCCGCACUGGGGCUGCGGCCAGCCCCAGCCCCCAGCCAGUGCUGCUGCUCCUGAGACAGGUGAGAAGCCCCGACUCUCAUGCCCGGGGAUCCUUCCUAUAGGAAUCGCACACACUUCGCAAACAGCACACCACAGUCUAAGAGCAUCAUUUUAAAAGGUAACAAGCACUUUAUUGUAAUUAUUCAUUUUGAUAAAGCUUAUUAUCUUAGAUAUUACCAUUUCUGAAGGGUCCCCAAAUCAUCACUUAGAUGAAAAUUUUAAAUGACAUUUCUGAGAAAUGUUUAGAUCCAGUGAACCAUAGUAGGUUUAGAGGAGUGACUGCAAGGUAGCCAAAUGAACUUGGACUUUUGUCUUGAAUGUGAGGGAGUUGAGACUGUAGAUGCCUGGUUCUGUUCAGACACUAUUGUAAACCUAUGCUGCCUAUCUAUUGUGUGGACACCAAAAGAGACCAUUGAGCCUGUUUGUUUUCAAAGGUCUGGGAAAACUGCAUCAGUGUGAAUAGAUGUGUACAACUAUCCUAAAGUGGUUGGUAGUAAGAUUUUAGAAUAUAAUAAUUUCAAGAAUUACUCUGGGUGUUUUAAAUGUGCGCUGAAAUGUUGGCAUGUCGUUUCAGUGUUGCCAUUUGAAUUGCUCUUGUAACAUUUUUGCACAAAAAUGACUUUAGAAAGACUACUUUCGUUGAAAAAAACAGGAAAAAAUUGGUCUUAACAUCUCCUGUGGAAACACUGGGGAUGGAUUUUGUUGGUAUAGCUAUUAAUUCAGGAUAUUUAAAACAGUAUUGAACAGCUCACAGAAAUUAAGUAAACGUGGAUCAUGAAAAACUAAGUUUCUUUCCAUGUGACUGUUUUGCAUACUUUUUUCCCCAUGUCAUAAUUUAACACUACAUUCCUUGUUUUUCUUAAAUAAAACAAUACUUUGCAGGUUGUUUUUGAGUAACUAUGUUUUGUAAGCUGCCUGGGCUUUCCUAUGGAAACGUUCUUUAGUGAAAUAGAAUGUAGUUUAUGAAGAGAUGUCAUUAAGUAAAAUUCCAUCACCACCACCAGCAAACACUGAGGUGCUGCAUUAAGUGACAAUCAAAAUAGUAUUUAUGAGAGAAUUUAGAAAGUGGUUUUUAAAGAAGCAAUUGCUUUGAGAGCAGUUCUCUGGGUUUCUUGAAUAAAAAUGGCUAAAUAUAUUUAUUUAUAUUUUUAAAUAUCUUUGUGUUCUGUUUUCUCAUCAGAGUUAUUUCACAGUGUCAUGUAUUUAAUCGUGGUUUGUUUUGUUCUGCCUUGUACUUCUCCUUAGAGGACCGGCUCUCCUUACCUGGGGCUGUCCCUGGGCUGGUGACGCCCCUCUGUGGCCAUGUCCCUGGGCUGGGGACACUUCUCCGUGGCCAUCCAUGUGUGUUCAGGGCAGCAGUGGAGCCCAAUCCAGGUGCCCAUGUGUUUCUCAACUUAGCUCAGAGAAAGUAAAGAUGUCAGCCAGAACAGCUGUCACCGACAUCCUAGAAUUGUCCUGAAUGUGUCUUGUUGUGGGUUAAAAUUAGAGCCUGUCCUUCCUCCAGAAAGGGUGGAGCUACAUAUACGUGGCUGACCGAUACUAGGUAAGAAUACCUAGUUUUCCUAAAGCAAGCAUUCAGUUGAAAUCCAAAUUGAUCUGCGAAAACAAGACUGACAGUUUCCAAGUAACAUCUUCAACCCGAUCCUGAACUGCACAGAAGCACGAUGGGAUAGUGACUGGUUUCAACGGUGCUAUUUUAGGUUCUCCUGAUUUUCAUGAGCUGUGUUUGGAAAUGGGAUACUGUAUAAAAUGUGGAUCAUUUUGUUACCAAUAUUGCUAUUUUAAUUUGGUGUUACAAUUGGCGCACCUGCUUCUCACAGCUGCCCUUUGAGAAGAAGUACACGUGUUACCAGCCUGCCUCCACUCAGGCUCUUGCUGUAGCAUCAUUUUUCCAGGUGAUGAUGUGCAGUUUUAAACUACAUGUACUAUUAUACUGCUCUUUCCCACAGACUCUUGUAAUGUUUUCAGAACCUAAAAUGACAGCAAAAGAGCCAAGCAGGAGCAUUUGAGUUUCUUUUGUAAAAUGUAAAAUGACUAAAUUUAGACUGUCUCUCCUUGUACAGUUUUAAAAAUAAAUACCUCAGUGCUGUUUUCCAGGAUCCCCUGCGUUUCUCAAAAUAAUACCUGCUUCGUGUGGUACAUAACUUGUAAGAACCACAUUAUUUUGGAUUUUGAAGAAUAUUAAAUAUUUUAAAAUCAC